GAGUUUCCUUCGGGAGACGAUGAUUGGUGACGGAGCGGCGGACGGGUGAGUAACGCGUGGCUAACCUACCCUCUUGACGGGGACAACCACCCGAAAGGGCGGCUAAUACCCGAUAUUGCUUGGAGUCGAUGGACUCCUUUCCAAAGGCGGUCUUGCCGCCGCAAGGGGAUGGGGCUGCGUCCUAUUAGCUAGUUGGUGAGGUAACGGCCCACCAAGGCUUCGAUGGGUAGCUGGUCUGAGAGGACGGCCAGCCACAUUGGGACUGAGAUACGGCCCAGUCUCCUACGGGAGGCAGCAGUGGGGAAUCUUGGCAAUGGACGAAAGUCUGAGCCAGCGACACCGCGUGGGGGAUGACGGCCUUCGGGUUGUAAACCCCUUUUCUGGGGAAAGAAUAAGGACGGGAGGAAAUGCCCGCCCGAUGACGGUACUCCAGGAAUAAGCAUCGGCUAACUCUGUGCCAGCAGCCGCGGUAAGACAGAGGAUGCGAGCGUUAUCCGGAAUUACUGGGCGUAAAGGGCGUCUAGGCGGUUCGGUAAGUCGUUUGUGAAAUCCCUCGGCUCAACCGAGGAGGGUCUUGCGAUACUGCCGAGCUUGGUGCAGGAGAGGAGGGUGGAACUCACAGAGUAGCGGUGGAAUGCGUAGAUACUGUGAGGUACCCCGAUGGCGAAGGCAACCCUCUGGCCUGCUACCGACGCUGAAGCGCGAAAGCGUGGGGAGCAAAGGGGAUUAGAUACCCCCGUAGUCCACGCCCUAAACAAUGUUCACUUGGUGUCGGCCGCUCAUACUGGUCGGUGCCGAAGCUAACGCGUUAAGUGAACCGCCUGAGGAGUACGGCCGCAAGGCUAAAACUCAAGAGAAUUGACGGGUCCCUGCACAAGCGGUGGAGCACGUGGUUUAAUUCGACGAUAGACGAAGAACCUCACCCAGGCUUGACAUGCUAGUGGUAGGAACCUGAAAGGGGGACGACCCUGCCUUCGGGUAGGGAGCUAGUACAGGUGAUGCAUGGCUGUCGUCAGCUCGUGUCGUGGGAUGUUGGGUUCAGUCCCGAAACGAGCGCAACCCUUGUCGUUAGUUGCCAGCGGGUAAUGCCGGGGACUCUAACGAGACUGCUGGUGAAUAGCCGGAGGAAGGCGGGGAUGACGUCAAGUCAUCAUGUCCCUUAUGCCUGGGGCGACACACAUGCUACAAUGGGGGGUACAGAGGGUCGCAAUCCCGUAAGGGGGAGCCAAUCCAUAAAAGCCCCUCUCAGUUCGGAUUGAGGUCUGCAACUCGACCUCAUGAAGCCGGAAUCGCUAGUAAUCGCGGGUCAGCCAUACCGCGGUGAAUAUGUACUCAGGGAUUGUACACACCGCCCGUCACACCAACCGAGUGGGGGGUACCUGAAGUCGCUCUUCUAAGGGCGCCUAAGGUAACUUCCGCAAGAGGGGUGAAGUCGUAACAAGGUA
rnacentral:rRNA from 1 species